AUGAUGGACUAUAGGACAGGACUGCUGCUUUUAACUGUCUGCUGGGCAGGUGUUGAUGGUCAGACUCUCACAGAAUCUGAACCAGUGGUUAAAAGGCCUGGAGAAUCCCACAGAUUGACCUGUACAAGCUCUGGAUUCACAUUCAGCAGCUACUAUAUGAACUGGGUCAGACAGGCUCCUGGAAAAGGACUGGAGUGGGUCGCAUAUAUCAGUAGCGGUGGUAGCAACAAAUACUACUCUCAGUCAGUUCAAGGCCGGUUUACCAUCUCCAGAGACAACAGUAAACAGCAGGUGUAUCUGCAGAUGAACAGUCUGAAGACUGAAGAUUCUGCUGUUUAUUACUGUGCUCGAGACUCACAGUGACUGGAGUUGGUUGAGCAGCUGUACAAAAACCUACAGGACUCAUCUUUCAGGCUGU